rnacentral:lncRNA from 1 species
CGGCCGUGUAGCUCGCGCUGGACUUCCGCCACUCGCCGUGCCCGAGCCCAGAGCGCGUGAAGACACAGUCCAGGAUGAAGCUGGCUGCCCUAUUAUCUGUGUUUUGGGUUUCCUGUCUGUUGGGAGGAGUUCAGAGCCGACCAAUAUGGGACAACAAGCUGGACUUUCUUGAAAACCGGCUGAGAACACUGGACCUGGCCAGGAACAGAGAGCUGUUUCUGAGUGCUCUGCAGUCCUACUUCAGUAACAGAGGGGUCAGUGUUGACCGGACAGCUCCCGCCUUCCUGUUGUUCCCACCAAAGAGCUGGCAAACUCGGACAGAUGCCCUGCUGGAGUCCGAGAUGCCAGGGGAGGGCACGAAUCUGUCAGAAUGACAGCCUUACCCAUCUGGAGGCAUCGGGUGAAUUAGAACGACGGACACCAUUGUUCUUAUAGGAUUUUUAAAUACUGAAGGAACACGAUCUGUACGGACAGGCUUGCCAGGGUGAUAAUGCAAAUAAAAUGGAAGACAUCUUACAUUGUUUUAUAAUGGUGGUAACUGUAAAACCUGGAACAUACUAUUCUUUCUAUUUUCACAAAUAAAGAACCGUCUUUAG